rnacentral:rRNA from 1 species
AUUGAACGCUGGCGGCAUGCCUUACACAUGCAAGUCGAACGGCAGCACGGGAGCAAUCCUGGUGGCGAGUGGCGAACGGGUGAGUAAAGUAUCGGAACGUGCCCAGUCGUGGGGGAUAACGUAGCGAAAGUUACGCUAAUACCGCAUACGAACUAUGGAUGAAAGCGGGGGAUCGCAAGACCUCGCGCGAUUGGAGAGGCCGAUAUCAGAUUAGGUAGUUGGUGGGGUAAAGGCUCACCAAGCCGACGAUCUGUAGCUGGUCUGAGAGGACGACCAGCCACACUGGGACUGAGACGCGGCCCAGACUCCUACGGGAGGCAGCAGUGGGGAAUUUUGGACAAUGGGCGAAAGCCUGAUCCAGCCAUGCCGCGUGCAGGAUGAAGGCCUUCGGGUUGUAAACUGCUUUUGUACGGAACGAAAAGGUUUGGCCUAAUAAGCUGAGCUCAUGACGGUACCGUAAGAAUAAGCACCGGCUAACUACGUGCCAGCCGCCGCAGUAA